rnacentral:tRNA from 3 species
AUAAUUGUAGUGUAAUUUCAACACGUUAGUUUUUCAUACUAAAAAUGUGCUCAGCACCUAUUAUA